rnacentral:rRNA from 1 species
UAAAGCCAAAAGGUGGGAACCACCGGGUUAAAACCCCUGGUAGUCCUCCCCGUAAACAAUGAUUGCUAGUUUCCGGGCUGCAUCAAGUCGGUUACCCAGUUACGCAUUAAGCAAUCCGGCUUGGGAAGUCGGUUCGCAAGUUUAAACUUCAAAGGAAUUGACGGGGGCCCGCCCAAACGGUUGAAGCAUGUGGUUUAAUUCGAAAGCACGGGCAAGAACCUUAACACCUUUUGACAAUGCUUGACCGCCCACGGAAACGUGGCUUUCCCUUCGGGGACUGGGACACAGGUGCUGCAUGGCUGUCGUCAGCUCGUGUCGUGAGAUGUUGGGUUAAGUCCCGCAACGAGCGCAACCCUCGCCAUUAGUUGCCAUCAUUCAGUUGGGAACUCUAAUGGGACUGCCGGUGCUAAGCCGGAGGAAGGUGGGGAUGACGUCAAGUCCUCAUGGCCCUUACAGGGUGGGCUACACACGUGCUACAAUGGCAACUACAGAGGGUUAAUCCUUAAAAGUUGUCUCAGUUCGGAUUGUCCUCUGCAACUCGAGGGCA